rnacentral:rRNA from 1 species
GUGCCAGCAGCCGCGGUAAGACGAACCGUGCGAACGUUAUUCGGAAUCACUGGGCUUAAAGCGCGUGUAGGCGGAUCGGUGCGUCGGCGCCUGAAAUCCCCCGGCUCAACCGGGGAACGUGGCUCGAAACGGCCGGUCUGGAGGGACGUAGGGGGGUCUGGAACUUCCGGUGGAGCGGUGAAAUGCGUUGAGAUCGGAAGGAACGCCCGUGGCGAAAGCGAGACCCUGGACGUCUACUGACGCUGAGACGCGAAAGCUAGGGGAGCGAACGGGAUUAGAUACCCCGGUAGUCC